UGAGAGGGUGAUCGGCCACACUGGGACUGAGACACGGCCCAGACUCCUACGGGAGGCAGCAGUAGGGAAUCUUGGGCAAUGGACGAAAGUCUGACCGAGACACGCCGCGUGAGUGAAGAAGGUUUUCGGAUCGUAAAACUCUGUUGUUAGAGAAGAACAAGGAUGAGAGUAGAACGUUCAUCCCUUGACGGUAUCUAACCAGAAAGCCACGGGCUAACUACGUGCCAGCAGCCGCGGUAAUACGUAGGUGGCAAGCGUUGUCCGGAUUUAUUGGGCGUAAAGCGAGCGCAGGCGGUUUCUUAAGUCUGAUGUGAAAGCCCCCGGCUCAACCGGGGAGGGUCAUUGGAAACUGGGAGACUUGAGUGCAGAAGAGGAGAGUGGAAUUCCAUGUGUAGCGGUGAAAUGCGUAGAUAUAUGGAGGAACACCAGUGGCGAAGGCGGCUCUCUGGUCUGUAACUGACGCUGAGGCUCGAAAGCGUGGGGAGCGAAACAGGAUUAGAUACCCUGGUAGUCCACGCCGUAACGAUGAGUGCUAAGUGUUGGAGGGUUUCCGCCCUUCAGUGCUGCAGCAAACGCAUUAAGCACUCCGCCUGGGGAGUACGACCGCAAGGUUGAAACUCAAAGGAAUUGACGGGGGCCCGCACAAGCGGUGGAGCAUGUGGUUUAAUUCGAAGCAACGCGAAGAACCUUACCAGGUCUUGACAUCCUUUGACCACUCUAGAGAUGUAGCUUCUCCUUCGGGGGCAAAGUGACAGGUGGUGCAUGGUUGUCGUCAGCUCGUGUCGUGAGAUGUUGGGUUAAGUCCCGCAACGAGCGCAACCCUUAUUGUUAGUUGCCAUCAUUUAGUUGGGCACUCUAGCGAGACUGCCGGUGACAAACCGGAGGAAGGUGGGGAUGACGUCAAAUCAUCAUGCCCCUUAUGACCUGGGCUACACACGUGCUACAAUGGGAAGUACAACGAGUUGCGAAGUCGCGAGGCUAAGCUAAUCUCUUAAAGCUUCUCUCAGUUCGGAUUGUAGGCUGCAACUCGCCUACAUGAAGCCGGAAUCGCUAGUAAUCGCGGAUCAG
rnacentral:rRNA from 1 species